rnacentral:rRNA from 1 species
GACGAACGCUGGCGGCGUGCUUAACACAUGCAAGUCGAACGGAAAGGCCUGCUUUCCCUUGUGGAUUGCGGGUACUCGAGUGGCGAACGGGUGAGUAACACGUGAGUGAUCUGCCCCCAACUUGGGUAUAAGCCUGGGAAACUGGGUCUAAUUCCCGAUAGGACUGCAGGGUGGUGCCUGUGGUGGAAAACGAUUUUCUAGUGGUUGGGGAUGAGCUCGCGGCCUAUCAGCUUGUUGGUGGGGUAAUGGCCUACCAAGGCGGCGACGGGUAGCCGGCCUGAGAGGGUGGACGGCCACAUUGGGACUGAGAUACGGCCCAGACUCCGACGGGAGGCAGCAGUGGGGAAUAUUGCACAAUGGGCGGAAGCCUGAUGCAGCGACGCCGCGUGGGGGAUGACGGCCUUCGGGUUGUAAACUCCUUUCGACCGCGAGGAAGCCACCUGGUUGGAAGGGUGGUGACGGUAGUGGUAGAAGAAGCACCGGCUAACUACGUG